AUUGGGCGUAAGCGCGCGCAGGCGGUUUCUUAAGUCUGAUGUGAAAGCCCACGGCUCAACCGUGGAGGGUCAUUGGAAACUGGGGAACUUGAGUGCAGAAGAGAAAAGCGGAAUUCCACGUGUAGCGGUGAAAUGCGUAGAGAUGUGGAGGAACACCAGUGGCGAAGGCGGCUUUUUGGUCUGUAACUGACGCUGAGGCGCGAAAGCGUGGGGAGCAAACAGGAUUAGAUACCCUGGUAGUCCACGCCGUAAACGAUGAGUGCUAAGUGUUAGAGGGUUUCCGCCCUUUAGUGCUGCAGCUAACGCAUUAAGCACUCCGCCUGGGGAGUACGGUCGCAAGACUGAAACUCAAAGGAAUUGACGGGGGCCCGCACAAGCGGUGGAGCAUGUGGUUUAAUUCUAAUCAACGCGAAGAACCUUACCA
rnacentral:rRNA from 2 species